GCCGGUGUAGCUCAGCCUGGUAGAGCACCAGACUCAUAAUCUGGGCGUCGACAGUUCAAAUCUGUCCACCGGCA
rnacentral:tRNA from 1 species